rnacentral:rRNA from 1 species
GAUGAACGCUGGCGGCGUGCCUAAUACAUGCAAGUCGAGCGAACAGACGAGGAGCUUGCUCCUCUGACGUUAGCGGCGGACGGGUGAGUAACACGUGGAUAACCUACCUAUAAGACUGGGAUAACUUCGGGAAACCGGAGCUAAUACCGGAUAAUAUAUUGAACCGCAUGGUUCAAUAGUUAAAGACGGUUUUGCUGUCACUUAUAGAUGGAUCCGCGCCGCAUUAGCUAGUUGGUAAGGUAACGGCUUACCAAGGCAACGAUGGGUAGCCGACCUGAGAGGGUGAUCGGACACACUGGAAAUGAGACACGGUCCAGACUCCUACGGGAGGCAGCAGUAGGGAAUCUUCCGCAAUGGGCGAAAGCCUGACGGAGCAACGCCGCGUGAGUGAUGAAGGUCUUCGGAUCGUAAAACUCUGUUAUUAGGGAAGAAAAAAUGUGUAGGUAACUAUGCACGUCUUGACGGUACCUAAUCAGAAAGCCACGGCUAACUACGUG